rnacentral:rRNA from 1 species
UACGUAGGGACCAAGCGUUGUUCGGAUUUACUGGGCGUAAAGGGCGCGUAGGCGGCGUGACAAGUCACUUGUGAAAUCUCUGAGCUUAACUCAGAACGGCCAAGUGAAACUGUUGUGCUAGAGUGCAGAAGGGGCAAUCGGAAUUCUUGGUGUAGCGGUGAAAUGCGUAGAUAUCAAGAGGAACACCUGCGGCGAAGGCGGGUUGCUGGGCCGACACUGACGCUGAGGCGCGAAAGCUAGGGGAGCGAACGGG